AGCAACCCGCUAUGCGGAGAACAAUGGGAUCAGACAGCUGGAAUAGGCCCGGAGUCCAAGCCCCUCAUCUGAGGACAGGAUCCUGCUCAUGUUAACAUUGCAGCCGCGGCACAAAUCAAUCAAACCAUAUACAUUACAACCUCCUCGAGAGUGAGAAGCGAGGCCGAGCCUAGAGCGGCAGUCCCAUUGACAGAAGACAAUCUGGUUCCAGGCCUGAACGCCUUCAAAAUGAAGGGGGAACUCUCAAACAAUCAAUAACCCAUUCCCUCCCCCCAAAAUGUAGAAAAGAAGCAUGUACGGGGGGGAGCUAGCUUUCUGUGUGCAGGGUCAGAAUAGAUCAGUGCCCUUAUUUAGCGGCAUUGAGAUCUCUUCUCUGCUGUUCUCUGACCUCAGUGCCUCAGUCACUGCGAUGUUCAUCAGCUAUAGUCACUUCAAAGUGAGAAUCAUGGCUUGGGCUUCAAGGAGACAAAAAAGGCACUGGUGACCACUGACAGUUUGAAAUAUUAGGUUAAAAAGAUCUUUAAAUAAUCCUGUGAAAUAAUAUCAUAUUGAUACUGCCUUCCUGUCGCAAAAGACAAAGAGGUUUACACGGUUUAUUCAGAACCACUGAAGUAAAAACGUCAUGUGCUGGUUGAAGAUGAUGAGUACUGCUACCUCAAAAAUUCUUUGAAAUUUCUAUUUAGUCAAAUAUGAGCAAAGAAAAUUUGCUGCCUUCUCACUACAUUGAGCUGACCAAAACAAAUAAUCCACCUUUAAUUUCAGCAGCCAGGGGAGGAGAUUGGAAAAAGAAGUUUCUCUCAUUCACUACACUUCGCAAAACUGAACCAUCCUUACCUUGAUUCUGGCUUAGAAUCAGUUUCAAACUAGACUCUGAUUUUGCCUGCCAAAAAGGGGGAGGGGGAGUUCAGGACAUUCCCGAUACUGAAGGACUCAAGGCUGAAAAAAGUUGGGGAGCUUCUGGUAUCUCAAUUCUACUAUCCAUGACAUUUGCUGAGCUUUCACUUCCCCAGCACUUCAGUUUGACAGGGCUUGUCUGGAGAACUAAAAAGGUGUAAAGUGUUUUAAUCUGCAUCACAAAUUGCCAAAAUUAAUUUAAACUUCAGAGGAAACUAAUUAGACCUAAAGCUAAUUCCGCACCCCCCAUGCCUUCCCUUCAUGCAGAUCAUAUAUUUGAGAGAGAGAAAAAUAUUAGUGAGAAGUAUUCUGCCUCAUACAUUAAAUCUCAACUUUUGACAUUUCAUCCUUCAUGGGUGCUUGUGUCUUCUAAAUAUAUUUAUAAGUGAUGAGAGAGGAAGGGAGCAGAAAUCACCAUCUGUAUAUGCAGAGUUACAUUACAUACUCCACUGUGCUCUGCAUUCAGAAUACAACGUUACAUCUGAUUAAAACACAACUUCCCUAAUGGGAAAAGUGAACUUGUAAAUGAAUUACCGGUGCUCUCAUAGCAGAAUACAAAAGACAGUGAGGAACAAGGAUUUCCAACGUCUGGAAUUUCUUCAACUUGCUGGCAAUAUUCAUAAUACUUCUUAACAGUAGCUAUUAUUUUUAAAAAAUAAAAAUAAAAUCCACUUGUACCCAUUUGCUAAAUCUGUAUCCCUUCCUCCCAAAGGACCCCAUUCAGGCAACUAUCACAAUGUUAAAACAAUACUAUUUGAAAUAAAAAUGAAAAAAACAUGUUUUAAACAUUUAAAAGUAAUUAAAAACAAUCUAAAAACAUUUAGAACAUUUUUUAAAAAUCUAAAUGUGCUAGUUGAAAAUAAUGGCAACUGGCUGCUGCUUGCUUGCAACCAAACAUUCUUCUGUCCAGUUCUCCACAUAUUCAGUAGACCCCAAUGAGAUCAAAAUGCUCUGUGCCGUGGAAAACAAAAAUGACUGCUACCUUUAAAACGGUUUUAUUUUUAUUUAGUGUCAGUCUGCCGAAACAUGUACAGAGGCUAGGAACUGACUCUAAGCAAGGUGCUCUUGAAGCUUCUCAGCCUGCACACUAAGGCAAGAAGUCAAAGCUUGGUGAUCAAUAUUGUAUUCAAAUGUACACACUGCUGUCUCAGAAGACAACAAAUGUUUUUGGCCUCUAGGAAACAUGCAUCUCCCCCCAACAACUGUCGCAGUCCCCUUAAACGUAUUAGAUGGAAGAAGCAGAGUUUGCUUGCAAAGGGGCUUUCAAACAGCCCUACGCUAUGCUUUGAAGUUCCAACAAUUGGGACUUCAAAGCACAGCAGCAUCCGAUGAUAGCAUGUGAAUGACUAGUGUGUGGCCCCACCCACCUGUAAAAUUUGACCCACCAGAGGGGGGGCAGGAAUAUAAGAAUCUGGCCCACCAGCCAGAAAAGGUCUCGCACCCCUGCUGUUCCAGCUCUUCAACUCCUUGUGCCCAAGUGCAUCCCCUCCUGUGUACCUGCUUUGUACCAUGUUCUGCUCUAGGCAGCUGAUGGGAUUCUCUACUGGUGGCCCUGUGUGUUUAUUUUCCUAAACUCCCGUUUCCAUCAUCUUCGCCCAUGUCACUCUCUCUGCCUAGAGCAAGACUCCUGCCAUCUGUCAAGCUGCUCCUUCCAAAUUGGCCCCGCUUUCCUAAGUCAUGUUUGUCUUGCCCACUUUGCCACUGCCAACCAUUCAUCAUCACAGCUCCUUGAGGAGAAGGGUGCUGGCAAUAGCUCAGUGGCAGAACUUAUGCUUUGCAUGUAGAAAGUCCCAAGUUUGACCCCCAGUUGCUCCAGGCGGGGUUGAAAAGGAUCCUGCAUGAAACCCUGAAUUCCAUUGCUAUACAGUGCCAUGGAGCCUUGAAGACACGAGAGUGUAAAAUGCACCACUGACACAAUUUCUAGACAUCACCUUUUUGUAACAGUAAUGCUUAUCUGCUCUGUAAGUUUCUGUUUGUUCUAGGGUUAUGCAUACAUUUUAUGGAUGAAUUUUAGUUGCAACUUGUGAAUUUUUAUGUAGGUAUUUUGUUGUAUUCUGCUCUGGUUCAAGGACUAAUGCAAAGAUAUAUAUUCUGCAGCCCUAGAGAGCUGCUGCUAGUCAGUGUAGACAGUACUGAGAUAGAUGGAUCAAUAAUCUGCCUUCCUAUGUUCCUCUCCCCAGCCGAGUGGACUAAGAGAUGCCAAAGACCCCUGCUUAAGAAGAGCUGCCAGUCAGAGUAGACAAUACUGAGUUGAUGGAUAAAUAUAGUGUGACGUGAUAUAAGAUCAGCAUAAGUUCCCAUGUUCAUCCUGCUCCUAAUGCAUUCCUCUCUUCCACUUCCACAUCCAUAGCCCUCCCCACCAGAAGCACUGGCGACCUGCACAGUGUGGCAACCGGACACGUUAAAACACCCAGCUGCUUCUAAUCAUCAGAAUGGCAAGGACCAGCUUCCUAAUGGCCUUGUCCAAUCAACGCCGCUGCUAAGAAUCUAGACCUUGUUCUACUAAGACUGGAAAACUUCAGAAGGAAAGGGGGAGGGGGGAGAGAGAAAUAACAACGUUUAAAGCAAUUUUCCUCCCUGCCAAACUACUCCAGAUGAUUUCUCAAAGAAGAAGAAAAAACCUGAACAAAUGGAAAAACUUUAACCCUUAGCCUUGAUUAAUUUCAUCUACAUAAUACAGAUGCUUGCAGCAAUCAGCCACUGAUGAGCAAGUCUUCCCUUAAUCGCCCGAGAGAAACCAAUGUCUGCGCAACACUCCAAUUGGUUUUUUCCACAAAGAUGAGCUUUUCAUCUGAAGAGACCCCGACAAGCACUCAGAAAAGGCCCAGAGAUGCAAGGUUUCUCCUCCACACUUUUGUUAUUACCACCAUUCUUAUAAACAGGCUUGGCCAGAGCAUCUCUUCACUGCCUGGGAAGAUCUCUCAGGCUCUGGCCAUACCCAGAAGACCUUGAAACCGACCCUGAAGGGAGAGAAGUAGGGACCCUUCCCUUCCUCUUGAGCCCAAGCACUGCCCAUGACCCCAGGGGACCCAACAUUCCUGCAGAGCAUUUAGGCCCCAGCAUUCAAAAGCUGCGACUCUGGAGGAUUUGAUGACAGUUGCCUGGGCUCCCAGCCAGAUCCCAGAACUGCAGCAAAGCCAAACAGGAACUAUGGCGCUGCUGGCAAUGUAACUUGCUAGAUGCACUGGGCUACUAAUCUUAUAAGACUACUCAAGAGGAGGAGAAAUCUGUGUAAAUGCCUGCUUUUGUCAGGGUCCAGUUGACAGCCAGGAAGGAGCAGAGGUUCCAACUACUAUGUAGGCUCUCUAUCUGAGCCAGACCACUGCUGGGCAAGCUGGUGGGCUGCAAGUUCCCAUCCAUGUCCAGCCAGCAGCUAGGCUCAUUUCCACUCCUGAACAAGAGGCAAUGGGGAAUAUCCAGGAUCUGAAUAGGGAAAGCAGAGCAGAUAAUAGCUUAAAUACUCAAUAACCUGAGCAUGCAGGUUGUAUCUAACACCAGUCAUGCUCAGAAGAGACACCUGGAAAUAAAUGGGCAUGACUGGCACAGGGUCAUUCAUUUAAAUGCGUCUACUCAGAGUAGAACUUAGUUGGCUUCAACCCAACCUUACUAAAAAGGCUUGUUUAGACACAACUGCCAAGCCAUGGUUUGUCCUAACUGUAGUGCAGGCACCAAACCAAAGUGUGUGCGCCAAACAAGCAAACUAUGGUUUAUAAAGUACAGCCUAGCAUCACCACUGAACAGCUGCUAGGACCCAGAAUGGGCAGGUUCGCCUGGGUGAUGGUGGUCCUUCAAGUAACUUGACGCCCACCAAUAGCCCUGAGCGUGGAGGCUGGAGCCAAAGAAACCAAUGAAGUUGAAGCAGGUAAAUUAAUGAGCUCCGGAGGGAGCCAUCACCCUAGCAAAAGUCUAGAGAAGACUGAGGGGGCUUGCAUACUUAUUUAUUAAUAUUACCUGUAUUCCAAUAUUCGUUUUUUAAAAAUAAAAUACCAAAGCACUUUACAUGGCAACAGAAACAAGAACACAGAACAAAAGGUAACAGUGGAAGUUAUCAGCAUCAAUGAUAGUAGCCAGAGGGGCCAGGAGCAGCUAUUAACUGUCUGGGAAAGAUUGAGGGAAGAACUUUGUUUUUCAUUGCGAGCAAAAGUGCCCAACCAUCGGCACCCAUCUGAUCACCAAGGGGAGAUUAGUCCACAAGUUAGGGGCCACCACAAAGAAAGCCAUUCUUAGCACCAACAAGAGGUGGGCAUCUGCAGGCUGCAAUACAGUUAUUAGGGUUUCCUUGCUGAUCACAGUGACCUCUACCUGGUCAUAGCCGACAGCAGGAUGAUGGCUUGCAGCUGGGUCUUCUCCCUUUUCCUGGGCAGAUCCUUCCUCCUGAGUAGCCUCCCUGCCAACAGCCCUGUCUGGCAGCGAAACAGGUACUCCUGUGCCUUUGAGCAUCCCGUGUGAUAAUGACUACCAGACAGUUAAUUUUGAUUCCUUUCAACACAGAAUCCAUGAGCUGAUUCAAGCUUUCAGGGAAAUAAUGUGAUAUAGUCUCCCAAGAGACGCGGGUGGCGCUGUGGGUAAAGCCUCAGCGCCUAGGACUUGCUGAUCGCAUGGUCGGCGGUUCGAACCCCCGCGGCGGGGUGAGCUCCCGUCGUUCGGUCCCUGCUCCUGCCC